AAUGAACGCUGGCGGCGCGCCUAAUACAUGCAAGUCGAGCGAGAAGACGUAGCAAUACGUUUGUAAAGCGGCGAACGGGUGAGGAAUACAUGGGUAACCGUACCCUCGAGUGGGGAAGUAACUAGCCGAAAGGUUAGCUAAUACCGCGUACGCUUCUUGGACUUCGGUUCGAGGGAGGAAAGCGAUGCCGAGGGUAUCGCGCUCUUGGAUGGGCUCAUGUCCUAUCAGCUUGUUGGNGAGGUAACGGCUCACCAAGGCUUCGACGGGUAGCUGGUCUGAGAGGACGAUC
rnacentral:rRNA from 1 species